AUUGAACGCUUGCGGCAGGCCUAACACAUGCAAGUCGAGCGAGCGGCGGACGGGGGAGUAAUGUCUGGGAAACUGCCUGAUGGAGGGGGAUAACUACUGGAAACGGUAGCUAAUAACGCAUACCAUCAGAUGUGCCCAGAUGGGAUUCGCUAGGAGGGGGGGUAACGGCUAACCUAGAUGACGAUCCCUAGCUGCGCUGAGAGGAGGACCAGCCACACUGGAACGUAGACACGGUCCAGACUCCUAAGGGAGGCAGCAGUGGGGAAUAUUGCACAAGGGGCGCAAGUCUGAGGCAGCCAUGCCGAGUGUGUGAAGAAGGCCUUCGGGUUGUAAAGCACUGUCAGCGGGGAGGCGUUACCCGAAGAAGAAGCACCGGCUAACUCCGUGCCAGCAGCCGCGGGAAUAC
rnacentral:rRNA from 1 species